rnacentral:rRNA from 1 species
AAUAUUGCACAAUGAGCGAAAGCUUGAUGCAGCGACGCCGCGUGAGGGAUGACGGCUUUCGGGUUGUAAACCUCUUUCGGCAGGGAACAAGUCCAGGUUUUGGCCUGGUUGUGGGUACCUGCAUAAGAAGCGCCGGCUAACUACGUUCCAGCAGUCGCGGUAAGACGUAGGGCGCGAUCGUUGUCCGGAAUUAUUUGGCGUAAAGAGCUCGUGGGGGGCUUGUCGCGACUGCUGUGAAAACGCGGGGCUUAACUCCGCGCUUGCGGUGGGUACGGGCAGGCUUGAGUGUAGGAGGGAAGACUGGAAUUCCUGGUGUAGCGGUGGAAUGCGCAGAUAUCAGGAGGAACACCGAUGGCGAAGGCAGGUCUCUGGGCUAUAACUGACGCUGAGGAGCGAAAGCAUGGGGAGCGAACA